UUGUUAUUGUUGUGAAUUCUAUGUCAACUGUUUGCUAAUAUAGGCGGCGCAGAGAUAUGAAAACCAAACCGUGACAAUACACCUAAGCUAAAAGGUCAACGCACGCCUAAACUAGCAGCUCAACUCAUGAUUGGACUAAUAAUUUAAAACUAAAACUAAAACCUAAACCUAUUUUACAAAUAAAACUCAUAAUUAGGCUAACAACCCUACCCAUCAACUAACGACUUGACGGUAUGCUAUUCCUUCUUUUUUUUAAAGCUUCACUACCAUCGAAAUAUAUAUAACAGUAGUAAAAUUGUAAACUUUUAUUUUUAUACCAUAGUAGUAUGGCUAUGAUUGGAAGGUUGUAGUGUCAGUCAAGUUGGAAAAACUGUUGGCACUUUUUUUCUGAAUCAAUGGAAUUCUUAUCAAACACAUGCAAACGUAUAAAGAAGACUUGAAUAGAUAAUCUUUGAAUUCAAACAAAUCCUAGUCAACUGAACAACGCAUCUACCUCAGCAGUCCUUGGGAAAUGUAUAAAUAGGCAAGCAUUAAACUUUUAUAUAUAAAACCAUCAAGAUCUCUAUUUUUAACUCGGUGGUUUCUUUCACAAGACUUACUUCAAGAACGACAACACAUCCUGACAGUUAAUUCAUUAAUACUAAUACUAUCGAGGAUUCUGUCAUCCAAGUGGAAUGAACAUGGGCAUCAAAGGAAUGUUUCCUCAAAGUGAGAACUAUAGUGUUGCAAGCGAAUACUUGGUCGCUUAGAACAAAACGAAUUACUGUCAUUAGGAUAUGCUCAAAAGUGUGGCGCUAUAUCUUGUAUCUAUUGCUACGUUCAUUCAUUGAUCCAACAGCAUGGGUAUAGAAAGAAGACGAUAAGCAGGAGUUGCGCAAACGAAGUUAUGGAGUUUCUUGCAUGCAUGCAUGUUUUGGCAUAAAGCUGGUACUUCGAAAUAUGCCUAUGAAAUCUCUACCUGCUUUGCACCCUAAAUAUAACGUGUCGUCUUGUAGCUGCAUGUGAAUUACAACGAUUGAUAGAUGAAAAACAAAUCGACUUGUUGCCCAUUUCAUCGUUUCAAACGACUGGUAGUGUUGCUUGUGUCCAUAUCCAUGCUGUGUCCAUAUCCAUACUAUGUCCGUGUGUUUUGCUUUAUUACACUUGGUCAAAGAAAUCUAUAUGAUGUUCUUUACGAAACCCACAAAGUCAUUAGGGAUAUCAUUCGAACAGAAGGGUAUGUAUGCAAAAUACACUACAAGGACUAAGCCCAAGCACCGUAUUGUUUCAGUCUCGAAGUAAUUCUAUGUACCCGUGCAUUGGAGAUGCGUUUAAUUAACAUGGUGCGAUUGGACUUGAGUGAGCUGACAGCACUGUAUGAGGGUCUGUUUGCCAAGAUUCAGGACUUGUUGAAAGAGUUAUUACAACUACAACUAUAACUAUAACUACAACUAUAACUACAACGAUAAGAACUAUCACUACUCUGAAGACAACGAUGUGUUUUCUCAAGAUGAUAACGGAUCUAGCUUCGCCAUCAAUAAGUAUGAGACAAAGGAGUCCAUCUUUGAUGAAACAUCCAUUUUCCUGUUGUACAUUUUUGCAGGACAACUAGCCUGAGCACAAGAGACAUGGUGUACUAGACCUUGUGCGGAAUGUCUACUUCAAAACUUGCAUCUUUAUAUCUGAUAUAUAGAGAUAUAGAGAUAUAGAGAUAUAGAGAGAGGCUGAUGAUUUAUAAACACAAACGAUAAGACUUGUAACAUGAAGUUUGUCGAAAAAGUCAAUCUUUAAAUUCCUUUCUGAACCUCUCUGUUAUGUCAGUGCUUCGGUAUUAUGCUUUAAUGCAGUCACUUGAGGCGUUGUCCUAAUAGGUGCAAAGUUACCGUAUAUUUAGGUUUCAUGUUUGUGAUUACUGGAGAACGACUGUGAAGAGACCAACCGUAUCGUGUUUUUUCCAAUUGUGAUCUUCCAAUGCUUAAUAAAUACGAAAUCUUAUUUCGAUUUACAGGCUGGGCAUUCACGAAACAUAGCGUUUUUACAUUUCUACA